rnacentral:misc_RNA from 1 species
AGUGGCCUUGCUGCCACGAUCCACUGAGAUUCAGCCCUUUGUCGCUAAGAUUCGACCCUCCCCUAAAUCACUCCAAAAAAAACAAUCCCCAAUUCUACACAAGUGUUUCUACACUAACAAAGCAACAGCUCCUUAACGAAUUCCCAACUUUACACGAGCUCGUCUCUCGAGGUUAAAUGUUAUUACUUGGUAAGAUUCCGGACCUCGCCAAGUGUUUUGAAAACCCGCAACGCUCGCAAAGGUGCAUAGUGAGAAGAAUAAGUGAAGAGACAGACUUGUCCAAAACGCUCACGAAGGUGCAUAGUGAGAAGAGUAAGUCAAGAGACAGACUUGUCCAAAAAGAAACAAAAGAGAAUGCUUGGGGUUACACUCACGAAGGUGCAUAGUGAGAAGAGUAAGUCAAGAGCAGACUUGUUCAAAAAGAACCAGAAGAAAUGCUUGGGGAGAUAGAAGUGUGAGAUAGUUCUCAAGCUAAGAAAGUUGUAAAAGCUAAGAACUAGCAUCAAAUGAUGGAUGAAACACAAGGUAGUUGUUGAAAAGUCAAACACUUGGUGAUAUGAACACAAACGUUCAAUAUGACAAACCCAUGCCAAGUAAAGAGAAAAUGAAAACUGGUGAUUGUUGCGGAAAUCGUCCAGGAUUCCUCGACCAGGACUUGAAAUCGUCGAGGGAAAAUAAUCGGUUCCGAGGAAUCGUCGAUCCGGACUUGGAAUCGUCGAGAAAAGUUUACCGGGUCCGAGGAAUCGUCGAU